rnacentral:rRNA from 1 species
AGCGUAGGUGGCUCUAUAAGUCAGAUGUGAAAUCCCCCGGGCCCAACCUGGGAACUGCAUCUGAAACUGUAGAGCUAGAGUAUGUGAGAGGAAGGUAGAAUUCCAGGUGUAGCGGUGAAAUGCGUAGAGAUCUGGAGGAAUACCGAUGGCGAAGGCAGCCUUCUGGCAUAAUACUGACACUGAGGCUCGAAGCGUGGGUAGCAAACA